GGGGCCGUAGUCUAGCUUGGUCUAGGAUUCCAGCUUGGGGUGCUGGCGACCGGAGUUCAAAUUAUACCCUCUUCUUUUGAAAAAGAAGAGCCUUAUAACCCAGAAGAAAACAUUUACAUGGGUUAUUGGUAAAUGGAAAUCUCCGCGGUCCCA
rnacentral:tRNA from 1 species